CAGUUAAUACCUGGUAGCAUUUAAAAAAUGAGUAUUUUCAGUUUAUUAAGGGAGCUUGAGUUUUCCUAAGCUGUCACAAGAGGCUUGGUUCUUACACCAGUGCAGAUACUGUGAUGAUGGCAUAGUUCAGCAAAGCAUACUGUGAUGAAAAAAAAGUUGUCUUUCGCCUCCUAUCUGAUGUAUCUUUCCCUUGUGAUAGCUCUUGCUUAGGAGGUGUAGGCUUGGCCAUGAAGGCUGAGGGAAUAACUUAUUUUUUUCUCCUGUUGCAGGCACUUGAAUUUGAAGCUAUGAGCUGUGCAAGGUAAAUAACUAUUUUGUUUGCAUCUGAAUUAAUGUCCCUGAUGUGAAUAGGCUGCGUGUGAUGACUGCAUAGUUCAGCAGAUGACCCAUGGUGAACAUGCGGUGACUGUCUUUCGCUCCUAUCUGAUGCAGCCCCCUGUACCUUAGACUGUUAAUUCAUGUGGAAAGCUGAAAGGCUGCCUCCUACAUGAAGGUGUUCUAGAAGUGUUCUCUUGAUUUACAGGCUGCCCUGCACAGAUGGUGUCUGCCUUCACAUGUUCCUAAUCUUGGAAGACACAAGGCCUUCCUAAAUUGAAGGCUUCCAGAGUGUUUCUUCUUGUGAUGGUUGCUGCAGUGAAGCUGUGAAGUGGUGCUUAGUUCUGCCAGCAAAAAGUGAAGCUUGUGGGGAGUGUGUGAGAAGACCCACAUCUGAGGGAAGGAUCAUGCUGUCUUCAGCCUCACUGGGUAAGACCACACAGCAGAAAUUCUGUAAAGAGUUCUGGGAGUAUUUGUAGCCACUGAUGAAAUUCGAUUCUGCCAAAUGAAUUCCUGUGAUAUUAACCAUUUCCGUUCCACAUUGUCUGAGGUUACAAAGCUGCUGUAGAGCUUUUAGCAGUUGUGCUACUGCAUGUGUUAACUCUGCUUUCUUGUUUUAGGUGAGGAGGCAAUUUUUAUGAAGAACCAAGGAGGUGAGUGUAACUCUAGUAAUAAUUAAAUUUAUUUGUGGGAACAAAAUGAUGAUCACCUUAGCUUGAACUCUCUUUCUGAACAGAGAUGAAUACCUAAGGUCUGAGUUGUUCCCAGUAAGCUUCUUGUACUGGUUUGAUGCCUUACGGUGGUUCUUCUGUCUGUCUUAAUAGGUGGAAGAUGGCAGAAUAACGGGUUACACUUGCAUGAACAGCAUUAAAAGAGCCAAAGGUGUUUUACCACACUGGUAGCGCUUGCCUGCAACUGAUUGGAACCAAUAAAGCUUUGUGAAAUCUACUUGUUGUUUUGAACUGCUUUGACUUGAACAGCUUGCUAUAAACUGCUUCUAGGCUACUUCAUGAAAGUUGCAAGUAGACUUAGAGCAGGGAUUAAACUAGUUUAAAUGCUAGUCCUGCAAGUGUCUUAACUUAAAUGUCAGGUGUUGCUGGAAUACAAACUGCAGUUGACCUGACCUGAACAAAGAUAAAAAACCUAAGUAGUAAUUAGUGUUUUAUAGGUGAGAAACACUACUUGUGUAUUUGCUCCUAAAAUUACAGGCCACCAUUAAGUCUGGUGUUGCGUCUUCAGGCACAGAUGUGCACAGUAUAAGCAUGCAGCUUGGACACUUGUUAACCCUUUCCCACUGGAUUCUUGGUCUAACCUGGUCACUGGCAUUAGUCUGGAGCAAUAGUGUGUCCAGCCUCUGAGGCAGAAACAGCAGAGUGGGAA